rnacentral:rRNA from 1 species
UACGUAGGGUGCAAGCGUUAAUCGGAAUUACUGGGCGUAAAGCGUGCGCAGGCGGUUUUGUAAGUCAGAUGUGAAAUCCCCGGGCUUAACCUGGGAACUGCGUUUGAAACUACAAGGCUAGAGUACGGUAGAGGGGGAUGGAAUUCCGCGUGUAGCAGUGAAAUGCGUAGAUAUGCGGAGGAACACCGAUGGCGAAGGCAAUCCCCUGGACCUGUACUGACGCUCAUGCACGAAAGCGUGGGGAGCAAACAGG